GACGGAGGAUGCAAGUGUUAUCCGGAAUCACUGGGCGUAAAGCGUCUGUAGGUGGUUUAAUAAGUCAACUGUUAAAUCUUGAGGCUCAACCUCAAAAUCGCAGUCGAAACUAUUAGGCUAGAGUAUAGUAGGGGUAAAGGGAAUUUCCAGUGGAGCGGUGAAAUGCGUAGAUAUCGGGAGGAACACCUGUGGCGAAAGCGGCGCACUGGACCAUAACUGACGCUGAUGCGCGAAAGCUAGGGGAGCAAACAGG
rnacentral:rRNA from 1 species